rnacentral:misc_RNA from 1 species
GAAAUGUGAUAAGUAAUGUGAAUUGCAGAAUUCAGUGAAUCAUCGAAUCUUUGAACGCACCUUGCGCUCGCUGGUAUUCCGGCGAGCAUGUCUGUUUGAGUGUCAUGAACUCUUCAACCACGCUUUCCCUAGUGGUUAGCGUGUGAUUGGAUUCUGGGCGCUGCAUUUCUGAUGCUCGCCCGUAAUUGAUUAGCAAAUCGAAUCCGACUCGGAUUGACUCGGCGUAAUAGACUAUUCGCUGAGGACGAGAUGGACUGAUGGCUUCUAAUAACAAGUCAACCUUUAGACCUCAGAUCAGGCAGGAUUACCCGCUGAACUUAA